AGAAAGGGGUAACAUCAGGGUGAAGAGGGAAGUUAGACCAAGAGAAGAUGAAGGACUAGGAAUGUGGAACCUGGAUUAUCACAAAAGACAAAGCCAAAAACAAGAGAUACACGGAAAAUAGUACAAAAUAACAUAGCAGUCCAUAAUCUCACAAGUCUACCAUCACAAAACAAAAGAAACAGCACAAUACCACAAAGUCACAAAAUCAAAGGAAAUAAGUCUAAAACAACAAACAAAAGUCGCAGAUUCAACAAAGGAGCAAAGGGAAAUCACUUGAACGGUGGUGGUGGAGGUGGUGGCUAGUAGGACAGGAAAUGGGGAUAAUACACUUACCUUGUUGUUGCGGUAGUAGUCGGGAUGUGAAGCUCCAGCAUCCUGAAAGUGGUGCUACGGUGGAGGCUGAUAGUCAGAGUGGUGUUGAGGAAGCCUGACCCUGCAUUUUGAUAGUAUGCCAUGUGGCCGGUCUGCCAAUCGUGUGUCUGCUGGAUCCAGUGCGUCUCUGUCUGCAGUAUCUGAAUCUGCUCCCCAACACUCCGGAAAGUGCUGCUGAUCUCACCUCUGAAUCGAUCAAAGUCGCUCUGCAGCUCUCUCAAAUCCUGCCUAUGUAUCUCAACUACUCAUCCUGGGAUCUCCUGUACUCCUCAUCUCUCAGCACCUCAUGCUGAGCUCUCUUAUCCGAAAUCUGCUACUAGAUAGUAAGAUGCUCUAUGGAAGCCUGCAGAGAUGACAAAUUAGCUGGUGGUGCAGCAGAUCCCUAAGCUGUAGUUGUGGUGUCGAGCUCCUCAACAAGCAGGUCUUGAACUCCAUUUCUCAGCAACUCAUCCAGGUAGAAGUUGUAUAGUGGAAACUUAAUGAUGCCCAACACUCCAAUGUUGCGAACUAACAAGCUCCUCCUCCUUACAGUACGUCAUGCAUGAAGAGGCUCUUCAAUUACUUGAAGAGAGUGAGAACCAAGUCUCCCAAAUGCAUGUUGAUCCUCUUCUCCAAGCAAUAUAAGAUGUGCAUGUCUUGGUUAGUGAUCGCACCUGGAGAGCCGGUAGAAGAAUAGUGCUAGAUGCUGUGGCGAGCAAACAAGUGGAUGAGCCGGAACAUCGGCUUGUGGAUCCUCAUGGCCUAAGAGACCCCAGCUAUGAACGGUCCUACGCCUUCGGUGAUGCUACGCUAAAAAUCAUGGAGGCGGAGUCCAAAAAUCAUGGCGAGACAAGCCAACUCUAUAGAAUUGAAUCCAAGCAUCACUCUAAACUCAUCCGGAGACAUGUUGUGCAGCAUCCCUCCAAAACGGAAGGUGACCACCUUCUGAGAGGUAGAAGUGUAGCGGCCGAUGUCAAGUGUACAUAAGAACUCUCAGACCACAUGAGGAUUGGAGUACUAGAUCACCUUCCAAUCAAAAUAGAGGGGAGCGAGCCACCCCCUUCCAGUGAACUCCUUGAGAACUAAGUUCCCCUAUUUGGAAACAGGGAGGUGCUGGAGAGUCACGUAAUGCUUCCAAGCUAGAGAGCCUUCCAGAAAGUUAAAGACUUCCUCCGAAGCCACUGAGAAUCUAAGCAUCAUUCUGAACUCAUCCGGUGACACGUUGUGUAGCUUCCCUCCCAUGUGGAAGGUUACCACCUUCUAAGAGGUAGAAGCGUAGCGGCCGAUGUCAAGUGUACAGAAGAACUCUCAGACCACUUGAGGAUAGGGAGUACUCAAUCACCUUCUAAUCAAAACAGAGGGGAGCGAGCCACCCCCUUCCAGUGAACUCCUCGAGAACUAAGUUCCCCCAUUUGGAAACAGGGAGGUGCUGGAGAGUCAUGUAAUGCUUCCAAGCUGGAGAGCAUUCUAGAAAGUUAAAGACUUCCUCCCGAAGGCACUGAGAAGGAGGGAUAGCAUUAAUCAAGAGAGAUUGCGGAUUCACGGGCACAGCUAAAACUUCAAACUUAUGGUACGGCUUAGGUGGAGCUGCCGGAGAGGAGGUGUUAGGAGUUGCUUGCCUUGAGGAAGAAGAACCAUCAUUUCCCUUACACCUCUUGGGAACCUUCGAAGACUUCCCUUUAGGAGCCAUCCUGAAACAGUCAACAAAUGUGAGAAUCCUAAAACAUGACAAUAAGGGCAUAACAACCAAAUCAUCCUACUUAAGCACAACACCAUUAAGAAAGCUCACAAGUAGUCAUGGCAAAAGGUAAGGUGCACAAAAAUGAGAAAAUUCAAUGAAAGCACACUAGUCAUUCACAUAGGCAACUAACUAGCAAUACUAUCCAAAGUCAAUCCUAUGUUCUCAAGUGAGCAUCAAUUACCAUAAGGAAUCAUCACAACAUACUAAGUCCAAGAGACAAGAAUGAGCAAAAUGAUUGUAAUCAUAACAUCAAUUGAUCAACCUUGCAUCAUUCAAGCUUAAUCAAAUAAGAAGCACAAAGGACCAGUAGUAUGCAGCAUGACUCAAAGAAUCACUCAUCAACAUUCUCAACACAAAUGCACAAUCAAGAGUCAUAACAAGAUUUAAAUUAGAGCAUAAGAGGCAAUGAAGCAUACAUAUAUAUUCAGUUCAUCAUUCUAAAAGCAUCAAAGUGUACCUAGCAUAACCCUAGGCACAAAAUUCAUAUUCAAACUACAAAGAUGCUAUUCCGAAUUCUCAUCACAAGAUCAACCAAUUCAGUUAAAUAUAUUUUGCAAAGCUAGAGAUUCAAUUAGGCAUCAUCAUCACUACCUAGCAACUACAAAUGUGAAGAUAUCCACAUUCAAAAAUCUUUACCCUAAAUUACCACAAACCGAAACCAAUUGACAACAUAAGAGCUUUCCCCCACACUUGGGAGAUUUGCAUCCAUACAGAUGCAAAGAAUGCACAAAUCCAAAGAAAAGAGGAAACAUGACCUAAAAUUGCCACAUUCAACCCCAAAUCCUACACUAAUCAACCAUAAUUUAGUAUAAAUCCAUCAAUUCCAAAUCCCACAACCUUAAUCAUGCAUACUAUGAUCAAUUCAAUAACACAACCAAGCCAAAGUUACACCAAUUGCAUUCGAAAUAUGAAAUUUGAAAAUUAAAGAAAACGUUUCUGACCUAAUUUGAGAAAAAUCAAAAUCGGGGCAAGGGAAGUGAUAGGGAAACGACGGCUACAACGGAGAGGGGUUGUCGGAGUAGUGGCGGAGGAUAGGGGUGGGGUUGGGUGGGUCGUGAUGGUAGGGGAGGGAUUAGGGAGAAGGGAGGAAGGGAAAGAAAGGAAAGGAGGAAGGAGAGGAGGGGAAGGAGGAUGAGGGAAGGGGGAAGAGGGGAAGGAGAGGAGG
rnacentral:lncRNA from 1 species